ACAACUAUAACCAUACCAUUGGAGGGCAUGUUUGGUGCCAGCAGCCGCGGUAAUUCCAGCUCCAAUAGCGUAUAUUAAAGUUGUUGCAGUUAAAAAGCUCGUAGUUGAACUUUGGGCCUGGGUGGCCGGUCCGAUUUUUUCGUGUACUGGAAUGCACCCGGGCCUUUCCUUCUGGCUAACCCCAAGUCCUUGUGGCUUGGCGGCGAACCAGGACUUUUACUUUGAAAAAAUUAGAGUGUUCAAAGCAGGCGUAUUGCUCGAAUAUAUUAGCAUGGAAUAAUGGAAUAGGACGUUUGGUUCUAUUUUGUUGGUUUCUAGGACCAUCGUAAUGAUUAAUAGGGACGGUCGGGGGCAUCAGUAUUCAAUUGUCAGAGGUGAAAUUCUUGGAUUUAUUGAAGACUAACUACUGCGAAAGCAUUUGCCAAGGACGUUUUCAUUAAUCAAGAACGAAAGUUAGGGGAUCGAAGAUGAUCUAGAUACUGUACGCCCCACUGG
rnacentral:rRNA from 1 species